rnacentral:rRNA from 1 species
UCGGGUGACAGGGAGACAGGUGGUGCAUGGUUGUCGUCAGCUCGUGUCGUGAGAUGUUGGGUUAAGUCCCGCAACGAGCGCAACCCCUACGUUUAGUUGCUAACGCGUGAAGGCGAGCACUCUAGACGAACUGCCGUUGACAAAACGGAGGAAGGUGGGAUGACGUCAAUCAUCAUGCCCCUUAUGUUCUGGGCUACACACGUGCUACAAUGGCCGGUACAGACGGACGCAAAGCCGCGAGGUGGAGCAAAUCCUAAAAGCCGGUCUCAGUUCGGAUUGCAGGCUGCAAUUCGCCUGCAUGAAGUCGGAAUCGCUAGUAAUCGCAGGUCAGCAUACUGCGGUGAAUUACCGGUUCCCGGGCCUU